rnacentral:rRNA from 1 species
GAUGAACGCUAGCGGCAGGCUUAAUACAUGCAAGUCGUGGGGCGAGCAGGGGUAGGCAAUACCCGCCUGGCGACCGGCAACGGGUGCGGAACACGUACGCAACCUUCCUUUAACUGGAGAAUAGCCCUCGAAGAGGGAUUAAUACUCCGUAACAUGUACAUGUGGCAUCACAAGUACAUUAUAGCUUCGGCGGUUAAAGAUGGGCGUGCGCCUGAUUAGAUAGUUGGCGGGGAACGGCCCACCAAGUCUGCGAUCAGUAACUGUGUGAGAGCACGACCAGUCACACGGGCACUGAGACACGGGCCCGACUCCGUACGGGAGGCAGCAGUAAGGAAUAUUGGUCAAUGGACGCAAGUCUGAACCA